GUCCAGAUGAUGUGUCCCAAAUAGAACAAAAUGCGCAUCCUGAAU
rfam:Trichobilharzia regenti genome assembly, scaffold: TRE_scaffold0026036